UACGUAGGGGGGCAAGCGUUGUCCGGAUUUAUUGGGCGUAAAGAGCGUGUAGGCGGCCAAACAGGUCAGCUGUGAAAACUCGAGGCUACAACCUCGAGACGUCGGUUGAAACCGUUUGGCUAGAGUCCGGAAGAGGAGAGUGGAAUUCCCGGUGUAGCGGUGAAAUGCGUAGAGAUCAGGAGGAACACCGGUGGCGAAGGCGGCCUACUGGGCCAGCACUGACGCUGAGGCGCGAAAGCUCGGGGAGCGAACGGG
rnacentral:rRNA from 1 species